GUGCUGUAGUCCUGGACACCGCACACAGAGUGAGACUGUUCCUGCCCACAGGGCCUGUUGAGUUUUCAGGCUCCCUGUGCAAUGGUUCCACACACA